GACGAACGCUGGCGGCGUGCCUAAUACAUGCAAGUAGGACGCAGUUGCGAACGGGUGAGUAACGCGUAGGUAACUGCCUAUUAGAGGGGGAUAACUAUUGGAAACGAUAGCUAAUUCCUCCUACUAGUAGAUGGACCUGCGUUGUAUUAGCUAGUAUGUCGGGUAAUGGCCUACCUAGGCGACGAUACAUAGCCGACCUGGGAGGGGGAUCGGCCCAACGUGGACUGAGACACGGCCCAGACUCCUACGGGAGGCAGCAGUAGGGAAUCUUCGGCAAUGGGGGGAACGCUGAACGAGAAACGCCGCGGGAGUGAAGAAGGUUUUCGGAUCGUAAAGCUCUGUUGUUAAGGAAGCGGUACUUAACCAGAAAGGGACGGCUAACUACGUGCCAGCAGCCGCGGUAAUUC
rnacentral:rRNA from 1 species